rnacentral:rRNA from 1 species
GGAGGUAUCAGAAGUGCGAAUGCUGACAUAAGUAACGAUAAAGCGGGUGAAAAGCCCGCUCGCCGGAAGACCAAGGGUUCCUGUCCAACGUUAAUCGGGGCAGGGUGAGUCGACCCCUAAGGCGAGGCCGAAAGGCGUAGUCGAUGGGAAACAGGUUAAUAUUCCUGUACUUGGUGUUACUGCGAAGGGGGGACGGAGAAGGCUAUGUUGGCCGGGCGACGGUUGUCCCGGUUUAAGCGUGUAGGCUGGUUUUCCAGGCAAAUCCGGAAAAUCAAGGCUGAGGCGUGAUGACGAGGCACUACGGUGCUGAAGCAACAAAUGCCCUGCUUCCAGGAAAAGCCUCUAAGCAUCAGGUAACAUCAAAUCGUACCCCAAACCGACACAGGUGGUCAGGUAGAGAAUACCAAGGCGCUUGAGAGAACUCGGGUGAAGGAACUAGGCAAAAUGGUGCCGUAACUUCGGGAGAAGGCACGCUGAUAUGUAGGUGAAGUCCCUCGCGGAUGGAGCUGAAAUCAGUCGAAGAUACCAGCUGGCUGCAACUGUUUAUUAAAAACACAGCACUGUGCAAACACGAAAGUGGACGUAUACGGUGUGACGCCUGCCCGGUGCCGGAAGGUUAAUUGAUGGGGUUAGCGCAAGCGAAGCUCUUGAUCGAAGCCCCGGUAAACGGCGGCCGUAACUAUAACGGUCCUAAGGUAGCGAAAUUCCUUGUCGGGUAAGUUCCGACCUGCACGAAUGGCGUAAUGAUGGCCAGGCUGUCUCCACCCGAGACUCAGUGAAAUUGAACUCGCUGUGAAGAUGCAGUGUACCCGCGGCAAGACGGAAAGACCCCGUGAACCUUUACUAUAGCUUGACACUGAACAUUGAGCCUUGAUGUGUAGGAUAGGUGGGAGGCUUUGAAGUGUGGACGCCAGUCUGCAUGGAGCCGACCUUGAAAUACCACCCUUUAAUGUUUGAUGUUCUAACGUGGACCCGUGAUCCGGGUUGCGGACAGUGUCUGGUGGGUAGUUUGACUGGGGCGGUCUCCUCCUAAAGAGUAACGGAGGAGCACGAAGGUUGGCUAAUCCUGGUCGGACAUCAGGAGGUUAGUGCAAUGGCAUAAGCCAGCUUGACUGCGAGCGUGACGGCGCGAGCAGGUGCGAAAGCAGGUCAUAGUGAUCCGGUGGUUCUGAAUGGAAGGGCCAUCGCUCAACGGAUAAAAGGUACUCCGGGGAUAACAGGCUGAUACCGCCCAAGAGUUCAUAUCGACGGCGGUGUUUGGCACCUCGAUGUCGGCUCAUCACAUCCUGGGGCUGAAGUAGGUCCCAAGGGUAUGGCUGUUCGCCAUUUAAAGUGGUACGCGAGCUGGGUUUAGAACGUCGUGAGACAGUUCGGUCCCUAUCUGCCGUGGGCGCUGGAGAACUGAGGGGGGCUGCUCCUAGUACGAGAGGACCGGAGUGGACGCAUCACUGGUGUUCGGGUUGUCAUGCCAAUGGCACUGCCCGGUAGCUAAAUGCGGAAGAGAUAAGUGCUGAAAGCAUCUAAGCACGAAACUUGCCCCGAGAUGAGUUCUCCCUGACUCCUUGA